AACGAACGCUGGCGGCCUGCCUAACACAUGCAAGUCGAACGAACCCUUCGGGGUUAGUGGCGCACGGGUGCGUAACGCGUGGGAAUCUGCCCUUUGCUUCGGAAUAACAGUUAGAAAUGACUGCUAAUACCGGAUGAUGUCUUCGGACCAAAGAUUUAUCGGCAAGGGAUGAGCCCGCGUAGGAUUAGGUAGUUGGUGGGGUAAAGGCCUACCAAGCCGACGAUCCUUAGCUGGUCUGAGAGGAUGAUCAGCCACACUGGGACUGAGACACGGCCCAGACUCCUACGGGAGGCAGCAGUGGGGAAUAUUGGACAAUGGGCGCAAGCCUGAUCCAGCAAUGCCGCGUGAGUGAUGAAGGCCUUCGGGUCGUAAAGCUCUUUUACCAGGGAUGAUAAUGACAGUACCUGGAGAAUAAGCUCCGGCUAACUCCGUGCCAGCAGCCGCCGUAAGAC
rnacentral:rRNA from 1 species